ACUCUGGCCAUGGGAGUUGUAAUCUAGAGAAGCGUCGUCCGCGCUGGACCGUGUACAGGUCUCCUGGAAGGGAGCAUCGUAGAGGGUGACAGUCCCGUCUUCGACACGGACGCCCAGGGCUAUGUGAGGCGCUCUCGACGAGUCGGGUUGUUUGGGAAUGCAGCUCCAAAUGGGUGGUAGACUCCAUCUAAAGCUAAAUACGGGCGAGAGACCGAUAGCGAACAAGUACCGUGAGGGAAAGAUGAAAAGAACUUUGGAAAGAGAGUUAAACAGUACGUGAAAUCGCUGGAAGGGAAACGCUCCGAGUCAGUCGCGUCCGCCGGGGAUCAACCCUGCUCCACGUGGGGCGUACUUCCCGACUGACGGGUCAGCAUCGAUCUCGGUCGUCGUACAAGGACGGCGGCGAAAGUGGCACUCCCCGGAGUGUGUUAUAGCCCGCCGUUCGCAUGCGACGGCCCGGGAUCGAGGAACUCGACACGGACGGGGCUUCGGCCCGCGUCGGCGUGUCCAGGAUGUUGGCGUAAUGGCUUC
rnacentral:rRNA from 1 species